UACGUAGGGUGCAAGCGUUGUCCGGAAUCACUGGGCGUAAAGGGUGCGUAGGCGGGUUUUUAAGUCAGGGGUGAAAUCCUGGAGCUCAACUCCAGAACUGCCUUUGACUACUGAAGAUCUUGAGUCCGGGAGAGGUGAGUGGAACUGCGAGUGUAGAGGUGAAAUUCGUAGAUAUUCGCAAGAACACCAGUGGCGAAGGCGGCUCACUGGCCCGGUACGUGACGCUGAGGCACGAAAGCGUGGGGAGCAAACAGGG
rnacentral:rRNA from 1 species